GACGAACGCUGGCGGCGUGCUUAACACAUGCAAGUCGAACGAAGUGGCGAACGGGUGAGUAACGCGUAAUCAACCUGCCCUUCAGAGGGGGACAACAGUUGGAAACGACUGCUAAUACCGCAUACUGAAGGAGGGGAUUGCGUCUGAUUAGCUAGUUGGAGGGGUAACGGCCCACCAAGGCGAUGAUCAGUAGCCGGUCUGGGAGGAUGAACGGCCACAUUGGGACUGGGACACGGGCCAGACUCCUACGGGAAGCAGCAGUGGGGAAUCUUCCGAAAUGGACGAAAGUCUGACGGAGGAACGCCGCGUGGGGGGUGGCGGCCUUCGGGUUGGAAAGCUCUGUUAAGCGGGACGCGGUACCGGAAUAGAAAGCCACGGCUAACUACGUGCCAGCCGCCGCGGUAAUAC
rnacentral:rRNA from 1 species